rnacentral:misc_RNA from 1 species
UUUCCGUAGGUGAACCUGCGGAAGGAUCAUUAUCGUGCAACAGAGGCGCGAGGGCUGUCGCUGACUCGAAAAGGUCGUGCACGCUCUCACGCUCUCACGCAUCCAUUUCACCCCUUUGUGCACCACCGCGUGGGUCGUCCUCCCUCCGAGGGCGGGCGGCUUGCGUUUUUACACAAACCCCCUCGUAACGCAGCGUUAGAAUGAUUUACCCUUUGCGGUGACACGCAAUCAAUACAACUUUCAACAACGGAUCUCUUGGCUCUC